UACAGAGGUCCCAAGCGUUGUUCGGAUUCAUUGGGCGUAAAGGGUGCGUAGGUGGCAUGGUAAGUCGGGUGUGAAAUCCCGGGGCUCAACCCCGGAACUGCACUCGAUACUGCCGUGCUCGAGUACUGGAGAGGAGACUGGAAUUUACGGUGUAGCAGUGAAAUGCGUAGAUAUCGUAAGGAAGACCGGUGGCGAAGGCUAGUCUCUGGACAGUUACUGACACUGAGGCACGAAGGACAGGGGAGCAAACGGG
rnacentral:rRNA from 1 species